rnacentral:sRNA from 2 species
CGUCCUCUCUUGGGGGAGUAAUCUGCCGCUACCUUAUUCGCGGUGUUUGCAUCAACAUAAUUGAGCCUCAUGCUCAUGGUGUAGACGUUCUGUAAAAGAAU